rnacentral:rRNA from 1 species
CCAAUAGCGUAUAUUAAAGUUGUUGCAGUUAAAAAGCUCGUAGUUGAAUUUCGGGGUUAGUAGGUUGGUCAUGCCUCUGGUAUGUACUGGUCUCACUGAUUCCUCCUUCCUGACGAACCUUAAUGCCAUUAAUUUGGUGUUUUGGGAAAUUUGGACUGUUACUUUGAAAAAAUUAGAGUGUUUAAAGCAAGCUAACGCUUGAAUACAUUAGCAUGGAAUAAUGAAAUAGGACGUUCGAUCCUAUUUUGUUGGUUUCUAGGAUUGACGUAAUGAUUAAUAGGGAUAGUUGGGGGCAUUAGUAUUCAAUUGUCAGAGGUGAAAUUCUUGGAUUUAUUGAAGACUAACUACUGCGAAAGCAUUUGCCAAGGAUGUUUUCAUUAAUCAAGAACGAAAGUUAGGGGAUCGAAGACGAUCAGAUACCGUCGUAGUCUUAACCAUAAACUAUGCCGACUAGGGAUCGGAUGAUGUUAAUUUUUUAAUGACUCAUUCGGCGCCUUACG